AAUUCUCAAUCUCUACAAACUUGUGUUGUUAGUAGAUUGGAGGUGGGGGCUUUGUGGGUGUAUUUAAUAUAUCCACUCCUCUAAAAACCAUCAGCUGGAAUGCCUUUGCAAAACCAACUAUCAGUAUGAUAAUUAUCAACACUGAUGUUGUUGUGAAGGGGAUCUGCUUUCAAACCGUCAUUUUGACACUUUGAAUCC
rnacentral:misc_RNA from 1 species